rnacentral:rRNA from 1 species
CCUAGUCAUGCUGACGCGGAGGGACAUUA